AGGACGAACGCUGGCGGCGUGCUUAACACAUGCAAGUCGAGCGGAAAGGCCUUUCGGGGUACUCGAGCGGCGAACGGGUGAGUAACACGUGAGUAAUCUGCCCAUCGCUUCAGGAUAGCCAUCGGAAACGGUGAUUAAUACUGGAUAUGACAUUCCUUCGCAUGUUGGGGUGUGGUAAAGUUUUUCGGCGGUGGAUGUGCUCGCGGCCUUAUCA
rnacentral:rRNA from 1 species